rnacentral:misc_RNA from 1 species
GAACUGCGAUAAGUAAUGUGAAUUGCAGAAUUCAGUGAAUCAUCGAGUCUUUGAACGCACAUUGCGCCCCCUGGCAUUCCGGGGGGCAUGCCUGUCCGAGCGUCAUUGCUGCCCUUCAAGCCCGGCUUGUGUGUUGGGUCGUCGUCCCCUCCGGGGGACGGGCCCGAAAGGCAGCGGCGGCACCGCGUCCGGUCCUCGAGCGUAUGGGGCUUUGUCACCCGCUCGAUAAGGACCGGCCGGGCGCCAGCCGGCGUCUCCAACCUUUUUUUCUCAGGUUGACCUCGGAUCAGGUAGGGGUACCCGCUGAACUUAAGC